rnacentral:lncRNA from 1 species
UUGAAACAUAAUAGAAUUUAAAAUUCAUAAGGAUUCUCCUGUCUAAUCCUCGUUUCAGUGCUACCAUGCGUCAGUUCGCAAUAUCCGCUGGACAUUUAUGCCUGCUGCUCCUUGCCUGUACGCAAGGUAAGUACUUCUGUGAGUUAUGAUUCGUGUAGUGUGCAUGCAGACUGCAAUGUAGAGACAUUGGCGCGGCGAAAACAAUCUCCCGGCGUUUCUUGCGUGUUUCGGGAUCGCGCGCAGCAGGCGGCGUCAUGGGCCAAGGUACCAUAAAAGUUGUUGGAGACCGGUUCAUCCAUCCGAAGGCAAGUAGUUGAAUGUUAUUGCCGGUGUGUUGGCAACAGAAACGCAGAUUAUUCGUACUGCGCCUUGCCAAAGCCGGAGGCGCCCACGCAUGAAUGCAGUUCUGGCGCUCUUACGUGUGAGCUUUACUCUGUUUAGCUUAAGUUCGCGAUGCGCAUUACCGUCCCUGUGGGGACUGCUGUGUUCUAGAUCAUUUACCACCUUCCGAAACUAGCCUUCAAUUUGACCUAUAGCUUAGUGAACACGCAGUUUCGUAAAACUUAAUACUUACUUAUAAAACUCUUCCUCUUCCUGGAGAGUUGUUAUCGGUCGCAGACGCACCUUAGGUAGGCUACCAUCACCUCGCGAAGCCUAGCACGUGCGUGAAAUGUAACGGACAAACAUGUAACAAAAAAACCUUUUUCACUCGAUAAGUCUCGCCCGCUGCGUUUGCCACCUGCCGGCCACUCGAGUUUAUUACACAAAUUGUUACCAUUCGACGGCAUUCCUGUAAAACAAGGUCCUACCUAAUGAAUAUUAAUUUUACGUCAUUCAUGCAGGUGAAGACAGCAGUACUGCAGUGCUGGUGACCUGUGUUGGUCGAAUCACCGUUUCGAUGGAUCAAUCGUUUCGCAGUGCUGCAUUCAUCUAUGCGACUGAAU